AUCCGCCUGACAAAUCUCAAAUAGGACGAAACGCGUGUCCUGUAU
rnacentral:hammerhead_ribozyme from 1 species